ACGAACGCUGGCGGCGUGCUUAACACCUGCAAGUCGAACGGUGAAGCGCCUUCCUUUUUGGUGGGUGUGGAUGAGUGGCGAACGGGUGAGUAACACGUGAGUAACCUGCCCCCUUCUUCUGGAUAACCGCAUGAAAGUGUGGCUAAUACGGGAUAUUCUGGGUCUGUCGCAUGAUGGGUCUGGGAAAGAUAUUGUUUCGGUGGGGGAUGGGCUCGCGGCCUAUCAGCUUGUUGGUGGGGUGAUGGCCUACCAAGGCGGUGACGGGUAGCCGGCCUGAGAGGGUGGACGGUCACACUGGGACUGAGACACGGCCCAGACUCCUACGGGAGGCAGCAGUGGGGAAUAUUGCACAAUGGGCGCAAGCCUGAUGCAGCGACGCCGCGGGAGGGAUGGAGGCCUUCGGGUUGUGAACCUCUUUCGCCAGUGAAGCAGGCCUGCCUCGUUUGUGGGUGGGUUGACGGUAGCUGGAUAAGAAGCGCCGGCUAACUACGUG
rnacentral:rRNA from 1 species